GUAUUUUAAACUUAUUACACUAAUAUAUAUUUCUUUUCUUUUUUUGUAUUACUUUGACAUCCCUUAAUUAAACGUGUUAACCAAUGUUCACAUUUUUAUGUGGAAUGACAAGAUUGCACCCUUAUCUUCCUUCCUUGAUAUACCUCCACCCUUAUUCUCACCGUCACCGUCACCGUCAAGGCCAUCAUGUUCAACAUCCGCAUGACGGUCACUCAGCCCUCCACCGCCGCUGGCGUGUCGGAACCUGCGAGGAAACUGCCAUAUCGGAACCCAGCAAGUAGAGGUUUUGCCUUCUCCGUUUACAAGACCGAGGAAGGGUUUUGAAGUUGUAGAGUCUUCUGGGUUUGUCCAAAAUUUGUAGCUGGUUUAUGUGGAUUUUGAAAUUUUGUAUGCUCUCUCUUUGGUUCACCAUGUUUCAGCUGAUUGCCAUGAACAUUAAGUGUACUCAUGAAGAACAUGAGGACACUUGUGUCCAAAAAAUUCAUUAAACAAACCCAUGUACCUCACAUGUGACCACUUGAGUUGGGGAUUCGAGUGUAACUAGAUUGCAAAACGGAGAGGGGUUGUCUCUAGGAAUCAAGAAUAGAGGGGAUGUGUAUGUAAUAAAUUCAUAGUUGAGGGGUUACGAGUGUAAUAUGCUCAAGAAAUUUUCAUUCAAUUGAAGAAGUGACUACAAAUAUUCA